UUGAACGCUGGCGGCCGGCCUAACCCCUGCCAGUCGAGCGGAUGAAGGGAGCUUGCUCCUGGAUUCAGCGGCGGACGGGUGAGUAAUGCCUAGGAAUCUGCCUGGUAGUGGGGGAUAACGUCCGGAAACGGGCGCUAAUACCGCAUACGUCCUGAGGGGGAAAGUGGGGGAUCUUCGGACCUCACGCUAUCAGAUGAGCCUAGGUCGGAUUAGCUAGUUGGUGGGGUAAAGGCCUACCAAGGCGACGAUCCGUAACUGGUCUGAGAGGAUGAUCAGUCACACUGGAACUGAGACACGGUCCAGACUCCUACGGGAGGCAGCAGUGGGGAAUAUUGGACAAUGGGCGAAAGCCUGAUCCAGCCAUGCCGCGUGUGUGAAGAAGGUCUUCGGAUUGUAAAGCACUUUAAGUUGGGAGGAAGGGCAGUAAGUUAAUACCUUGCUGUUUUGACGUUACCAACAGAAUAAGCACCGGCUAACUUCGUG
rnacentral:rRNA from 1 species